rnacentral:rRNA from 1 species
UGGGGAAUCUUGGACAAUGGGCGCAAGCCUGAUCCAGCCAUGCCGCGUGGAUGAUGAAGGCCUUAGGGUUGUAAAAUCCUUUCGUGGGGGACGAUAAUGACGGUACCCCAAGAAGAAGCUCCGGCUAACUUCGUGCCAGCAGCCGCGGUAAUACGAAGGGGGCUAGCGUUGUUCGGAUUUACUGGGCGUAAAGGGCGCGUAGGCGGCAAUUCAAGUCAUCUGUGAAAUCUCCGGGCUUAACUCGGAACGGUCAGAUGAUACUGCUUUGCUAGAGUGCAGAAGGGGCAAUCGGAAUUCUUGGUGUAGCGGUGAAAUGCGUAGAUAUCAAGAGGAACACCUGAGGUGAAGACGGUUGCUGGGCUGACACUGACGCUGAGGCGCGAAAGCCAGGGGAGCAAACGGGAUUAGAUACCCCGGUAGUCCCUGAGCGGGCUGGCAAGGCGCAU